CCUACGGGAGGCAGCAGUGGGGAAUAUUGCACAAUGGGCGGAACCCUGAUGCAGCAACGCCGCGUGAGUGAUGAAGUAUCUCGGUAUGUAAAGCUCUAUCAGCAGGGAAGAAAAUGACGGUACGUGACUAAGAAGCACUGGCCAAAUACGUGCCAGCAGCCGCGGUAAUACGUAGGGUGCAAGCGUUAUCCGGAUUUACUGGGUGUAAAGGGAGCGCAGGCGGCGUGUCAAGUCAGAUGUGAAAGCCCGCGGCUCAACCGCGGGACUGCAUUUGAAACUGGCGGGCUAGAGUGUCGGAGAGGCAAGUGGAAUUCCUAGUGUAGCGGUGAAAUGCGUAGAUAUUAGGAGGAACACCAGUGGCGAAGGCGACUUGCUGGACCAUCACCGACGCUGAGGCGCGAAAGCGUGGGGAGCAAACAGGAUUAGAUACCCGUGUAGUC
rnacentral:rRNA from 1 species